rnacentral:tRNA from 1 species
GUUUUAAUAGUUUAUAAAAACAAUAAUUUUGUAAAUUAUCAUUGGAUUACUCCUUAAAACU